rnacentral:lncRNA from 1 species
AUGCUUUCUUCCCCCUUUUUUGGCCCUGAACACAUACUGACCUGUGGCAUAAAUUACCAUUUUAUAUGUACUCAUGUCCCUGAAAUUAAGCCACAGGGUUCACAGACAGUUCUAUCAGCAUUCGUUGUACCUCCCAGAACCCAGGCUCCAUACGGCCAUGGUCAGCCUGAGCACCGGGUCACCCGCUGCAUGCCUCUCCUUACUCCGCGCUCUCUUGCAGCCAUCGUCACUGUGUUGUCCACUGAAGACAGCUGUACUGACCCCAAGCGUCAGCAGCAGACUCUUUCUCGUCACCGCCCAACAGAUCGGCGCCCUGCUGCUCCUGGUCAUUCUGGGCGCAGGCUCACUCCGACAACACGUCUCACUUCAGCGGCUUCAGCGGCUUCAGCGCAGUGGGCAGCCCACGCAUCUAGCUCCGCGCAGGGGAGAGCAUGCAGAGGUCACGUGAGCAGGCCCUGGGUAGAAAGUACCUUUCACUGGCAGACCCAGGAAUGGAGAUUCUCAAAACGGGAUAGAAGGAAUCAGGAGCAAAACUGCAAAAUUACCGCAGUGAGGUCUUACCGGCUCAGAACAGCCUGCCACCUGCUAACUGGCCUCCCACAGGCACCGUGGCCCCUAAUCGAGAGUGGUCUUCUUCCAACACAAACAGACUCAUGUCAUCCUUCUAUCCCCACCCAACUUCCUGAGUAACUCCUUCCAAAAGCCCGCUGGUGCCCUGGGAGCCAAUUGUGUCCUGUACCCCUGAAGUCCAGCAGGAUCUGGCCCCUUACUACGCACCAUUACACCAUUACUAUGCGCCGUUUUCCCAUUCCAGCCAUAGCCUCCAGCUGUCCUCCCACCUACCAGGGGCAUUCCUUUCCUUCUGUCUUGACUACGCCUCUCCACUCUUCAAUUAUUAACUGCAACUAAUCCCUUUAGGCACUGGCUCAGCUAUGACAUUACUUCCUUAGAGAACUAUCCCAGACCCUCCAGACAAGCUCCCCAGUUACGAGCACGGACGCCACUUAACCACACACAGAGCUGCGCAUUGGUUUAUUGGAUUAAGUUUCUCUUUCGAUAAACUCCGUAACUAUCUAUAAGGAUAGCAGUCUUUUGCUCACCAUUGAUUGGGACCCUAGCACUGGAAUGGUAUUGACACAUAGUAUAUCUUCAGUAUCUAUUGAGCAGAUGGAAAGGGAACUUAGUUUAAAAUGCACUUAGAACAUGUGAUUGUUGUCACAGAAGCAUAUAUUCCAGCUCAGAUCCUUCCUCAGGGAGAGGACAUGGCAUCCAGGUUAUCUUGGAAGAGAUUCAGCGGUCAGACUCAGCCAAUAGAUUGGUUCAGCAAUUUGAUGUGCUAGUUUGAUUUUUGGCUCACUGGUUUUUGCCAAUAUGAAAUUUCUAUCUAGGUUCAUACUGACUUAAAAAGAAUCAACCUUUCCACUCAUUUAUGUAUCCGUCCAUCUCCCUCUUACCUGUCUGGUGAGUAAACUGAAUGCAUCUGGCUUGUUCAGUCCACAUGAUAAUCAAAGUCUGGGGUUCUGUGUUUUGUUACUGAGCUCGGUCCCUGUCCAAGUGGUUCUUUAUAAUCAAUAUAGCUCUGAAAUCAUCUCAGUCAGCACAGACCCUGUCCAUCUCCACGACAGAGCUCCAGGGCCACCUGCUCUAAGGGAGCAGUUCCAGAGCGCAGGGAAAACAGGUGGUGAAGAAACAAAAGUGGGUCAUUUGGGGGCUGUGUGUUCAAUGGAGCCCCGUUGUUUGAACAGGGAACCAUUUGGGACAUGUUUUUACACUACUUUUCUUGUGAUUUGUUCAUUUUCUUUCAUGACUUCCUCAUGGUGAAUACUGGGAAGGGGCUUCUGAAGGGAGGCAGGACGUGCUAGGAAGAUGUGGGAGCAAAUGGAACGCCAUUUGCAAAACAACAAAGGCAGCCCUAGGCAGUGAGCACAGGCAGAGUAAACAGCACCCGUGCUGCCAGCACACUGUUCAAAGCUUGGCCAUUCAGGGGAUCAUCGGAGACAAGCCACCACAAGAAGCCUGUAAUCACCUUUCCCCCAGUUUAUGAAACAGGCAGAGAUCAAAUGAAGGAGGUCAGGGUUAGCAUUCCCGAUAACAGCUUCCCAUUUGAACAGCCUGCAGGAGAGGAGGUCAGCCGAGGGUUCCAGAGAUUAGGGCUAUUUUUAGUGACAGCAAAGAAGGAAAACCUGCAGAGUUGUAGAUUCCAGGGUGAACGACACAGUUGUUCAGUGAAUUCUGCUACAGAUGCCCAAAGAGCAUAUCACCACCGAGCAGCUGCCCUGGACCCGGCCAGGGAGAAGCCCAACGAUGACACUGCCAUCUAUCCGUGGGGAGUGGGUACAUCAAGACACCACCAGCAGGUGAUCAGGGAGCCUGGCGGAGACAAACCCAGGUUUUCUUGACCAAGGACUAUGGUUAAUACCCACAAUAGGGAGCGUUUUUAGUUUUAACAGUUAAAGUAUUAUCAAAAAACUAUAGUCUGCAGGAAGCAAUUCACAAAGGGCAAGUCUGGGCAUUGAGAGGGUAGAUUGUUUGUCGGGGGGACGUGGUGGCAGAAAUGUUAAGUGAGAGUCCCGAAGACUCCGAUGGUCAAGGUGGGAGAAGCCACAGGGAGCGUCACCCCCAGCCUGUCUCCCAAUCUCAGAAGGGCACCAAUAAAGCCAAGUGGGCCACGCUUCCUGCCUCUGAAAGCAGGAACCCCUUCAAGCCAUUUCAAAUCCUUUUUCCGGCAAAAGGGACAAAACUGGGAAGUGGUGGAGAGGGAUCUAUGGCAGAGGCACGGAGUGCUGGAGAAGACAGUCUAAGGAGCUUCAUGGGCUGUGUAUGGAUGGGGGCAACUGGGUUAGUGCUAAUCGAGCAGUAAGCUAUAGUCUUGGCUGUCUUCAUGUGAGAAAUGAUGGCAAAGAAGGGCUCUGAUGCAGAAUCCUGGGAUCAGACAGAGGUUUAUGGGCCUAAGGACGUCGAGGAGAAGAUGGAUGGAAGAGGAGGCAUCAGGAGAGUGUUAGGGAUGGAGGAAGAGAAAGCUGCAGUAACGACAGCUGGCCUCUCCAGCAGCUUCUCUUUAUCAGCAAUGGCCCAGGCACCAUGGGCUUGUGAGCAAAGGACCUGGGAGCCUUUUCCUCACUGCUGGGCGGCAGGGCAGCACCCUGAGGUUCAGUAAAAUAGGGAUUGCAGAAGCAGGCACGUGGGUGUUUGGAAAUCCAAACGAAGUCGCUUUAAAGACAAUUUCUUCUUCCUAAUGAGAAGCUCUGUAAGGACAUGACUUUCACCUCUCCAGGGAUUCAGAAUUGCUCUGGAUGUCGAAAUGGACCCUGGGGCCAAGCAGGAGUUUGCCUGCGGAUCGACCAUGGCAUGUGGCUCUUACACAGCAUCCGAUUGGCCUGCACAGAGGCUUGAAGUUUCAAAAGCUUUCUGGAAACAGUGGCACAGAGCUGUAGGCCCCAGCUUGCCUGUUGUUUCAGGCAUCGACUGGUACCGUGCUCCAGGUCAGGAGGCCAGCACUCCAGCGACUGCUGCUGCUGACACUGCCAGGCUCCAGCCACUCCGCACCCCUUCCCCUCCACCCCUCUCCCUUCAACCUUGCUGCAGUGGAUGUGGAAGGGGACCAGAGCUCAGCUGCAGCGUACUGAGGUGACCCUGAUAGUUCCAGGUUGCCUCUGGGGAUCAGCAACACGAGGGUCAGAAGUGAAUUUUCAGAGGCGCCUGGGUGGCGCAGUCCUUAAGCGUCUGCCUUUGGCUCAGGGUGUGAUCCUGGCGUUAUGGAAUCCAGUCCCACAUCAGGCUCCUCUGCUAUGAGCCUGCUUCUUCCUCUCCCACUCCCCCUGCUUGUGUUCCUUCUCUCGCUGCUGUCUCUCUCUCUGUCAAAUAAAUAAAUGAAAUCUUAAAAAAAAAAAAAAAAGAAGUGAAUUUUCAGUUCUGCUUGUUUCCUUUUCCCAAACUAAACACCAGAAUACUGGGCAAAUUCCACUCCUCCCCACCCCUGCUUUUAUG